UACGAAGGGGGCUAGCGUUGCUCGGAAUCACUGGGCGUAAAGCGCACGUAGGCGGCUUUCUAAGUCGGUGGUGAAAUCCUGGAGCUCAACUCCAGAACUGCCUUUGAUACUGAAGAUCUUGAGUUCGGGAGAGGUGAGUGGAACUGCGAGUGUAGAGGUGAAAUUCGUAGAUAUUCGCAAGAACACCAGUGGCGAAGGCGGCUCACUGGCCCGAUACUGACGCUGAGGCACGAAAGCGUGGGGAGCAAACAGG
rnacentral:rRNA from 1 species